UACGAAGGGGGCGAGCGUUGUUCGGAUUUACUGGGCGUAAAGGGCGCGUAGGCGGCGAGCCAAGUCGAGUGUGAAAGCCCCGGGCUCAACCUGGGAAUUGCGCUUGGGACUGGCCUGCUGGAGAUCGGGAGAGGAGAGUGGAAUUCCCAGUGUAGAGGUGAAAUUCGUAGAUAUUGGGAAGAACACCGGUGGCGAAGGCGGCUCUCUGGACCGAUACUGACGCUGAGGCGCGAAAGCGUGGGGAGCAAACAGG
rnacentral:rRNA from 1 species